rnacentral:misc_RNA from 1 species
GAUGAAGAACGCAGCGAAAUGCGAUAAGUAAUGCGAAUUGCAGAAUUCCAGUGAAUCAUCGAAUCUUUGAACGCACAUUGCGCCCGCCAGUAUUCUGGCGGGCAUGCCUGUUCGAGCGUCAUUUCAACCCUCAAGCUCUGUCUUGCGCUUGGUGUUGGGGAUCGGCCCUGCCCGCCAGCCCGGGCGGGCCGCCCCCGAAAUGAAUCGGCGGUCUCGUCGCAGCCUCCUCUGCGUAGUAAUUCAGUUAUCCUCGCACUUGGAGCGCGGCGCGGCCACUGCCCGUAAAACGCCCAACUUCUCAAGAGUUGACCUCGAAUCAGGUAGGAAUACCCGCUGAACUUAAGCAUAUCAAUAAGCGGAGGA